AUAGAGCUGCUGGCAGGUCGUUUCGUAUUCCCUUGGCUGCGAAAGAGUGGAAACGCUGCUACAACAACAACAACAACAAACAAAACAUGCCGGGAGUGGGGUGGUCCGGAACAUUCCGUGGGUACGGAGAAAUUUCUGUCGCCAUCGCUUCGACUGGAGAAGGGCAAUGCCGGCAAUGGCGCCUGCUGCUAUCCCCACAUACAUUGCGUCUUGUGAAAGGCCUCCAUCCAAAUGAAUGGGCUGCUGUCUCCAUGGGGAAGCUUGAUUGACCCUGUGGAUAGAUAGUGCUUGCCUCCCACCUCACAGGAACAACUCCAGUUAUACAGGCUGUGUUAUAAAGAGACAGAGAGAGAGAAAAUAAAAUAGAAUUAACAGCAAGAGUGUUUGAAUGCACUGUAGCAGUUGGCCACCUCCUACACUGUGCCACUUUCCACUUUGAGCAUUUUUGUCGUGACUGGGAGUCACGGGCACAGCUGGCAACUUGCCUUUGUGAAGCACCUCCGGUGCAGAAAUACCCAGCACUGCCACUCCGCAGAGCUGUAAUCAGAGAAUAUUGAGCUUGGUCAAAGAGGUGGCGUGAAAGGAUAUCUGAGGGACGUGGCGAUAGGGUGCAGAAAUGAAUCCCAAGUGUUUGCAGUUAUGAGCCUGCUGCAUGGGUCACCUCAUUCAGCACUGGACCUAGAGAAUCAAGAAUUCCAGCGACACCUGGUGAGACACCAGAAAAGUGCAUUUAUCCAUUGAACCACCAGGGGGAGAUGAUGGCUGUUUAGCUGGAACAUUGCCUCUUACUGUCUCUUUUUGUCCAGCAAUCUUAAACUCAUAAAAAUAUCUGAAAUUGUUCCCUUUUAAACGGCUAGCAGGAUGCAGAAAUACUGUAAACAUUUAACUGUGCAAUGAAUUCAGAUUAAAAUAUUAUUCACA